rnacentral:lncRNA from 1 species
UUCAUUUGAAAAAGCAGCUUACAUUUACACACACCCUGCAUAUAGAUGGACAUUUAGCAAACUUUUUGUUUUACUUAACGUUUCAGGGUGACAAGGGAAACAUUGGAACUCCUGGAGAGAAGGGGCCGAAGGGAGAUGAAGGCAACAGAGGCAACCGAGGGCCACAGGGAGCAAAGGGGCCACCAGGGAAACAGGGAUACAGUGGUUCUUCAGGGGACAGAGGAAAAGUAGGAGUUCCAGGGCUCAAGGGUGAGCCAGGAACCAGAGGUUCAUCAGGAAUGCUUGGACAGUUCGGACCGGGGGGCAACACCGGGGCAGCGGGGGCCAAAGGCCAGAAGGGGCUCCGGGGACAAACUGUUAGUAACACAGCUGGAGGUCCAAAAUGCUGUUUGAUGACAACUAAUAGCGAUCGUGUCAGAUCUGCAUCAUAGAUAUAAAAUGUAUCUAUAUUUAGUAGAUGCUGUAUAUGUUUUAGAGCAAAAACGUCAGAAAAUGCUGUUUUUAGCCUCUCAAAUAUGGAGAUGUCCUGCUUUUAUCUGUUUUAUAUCAUAUAAAACUGAAUAUGUUUUAAAGACAUCACUUUGGGCUUUGAGAAAACGGGAUGAACAUUUUAUAAACCAAACGAUUAAUCCAGAAAA